UCCCAGACUCCUACGGGAGGCAGCAGUGAGGAAUAUUGGUCAAUGGGCGAGAGCCUGAACCAGCCAAGUCGCGUGAGGGAGGACGGCCCUACGGGUUGUAAACCUCUUUUGCCGGGGGACAAACGGCGGCACGCGUGCCGUCCUGAGGGUACCCGGAGAAAAAGCAUCGGCUAACUCCGUGCCAGCAGCCGCGGUAAUACGGAGGAUGCGAGCGUUAUCCGGAUUUAUUGGGUUUAAAGGGUGCGUAGGCGGGAUGCCAAGUCAGCGGUCAAAGACGGGGGCUCAACCCCGGCGAGCCGUUGAAACUGGCUGUCUUGAGAUGUCGAGAGGUAUGCGGAAUGCGCAGUGUAGCGGUGAAAUGCUUAGAUAUUGCGCAGAACUCCGAUUGCGAAGGCAGCAUACCGGCGGCGAUCUGACGCUGAGGCACGAAAGCGUGGGUAUCGAACAGGAUUAGAUACCCGUGUACUG
rnacentral:rRNA from 1 species